rnacentral:rRNA from 1 species
GUACAGAUGAGGUCAGCAGUCUUCGAAUCGGAAUUGGUGCGUAAAGCGUCUGUAGGUGGCUUUUAAGUCCGCCGUCAAAUCCCAGGGCUCAACCCUGGACAGGCGGUGGAAACCACUAACACUCGGAGUACGGUAGGGGCAGAGGGAAUUUCCGGUGGAGCGGUGAAAUGCGUAGAGAUCGGAAAGAACACCAACGGCGAAAGCACUCUGCUGGGCCGACACUGACACUGAGAGACGAAAGCUAGGGGGAGCGAAAUGGG